rnacentral:rRNA from 1 species
CCCUUAGAUGUUCUGGGCCGCACGCGCGCUACACUGAUGAAUGCAACGAGCUCUACCCUUGACCGAAAGGCCCGGGUAAACUUGUGAAACUUCAUCGUGAUGGGGAUAGAUUAUUGCAAUUAUUAAUCUUCAACGAGGAAUUCCUAGUAAGCGCGAGUCAUCAGCUCGCGUUGAUUACGUCCCUGCCCUUUGUACACACCGCCCGUCGCUCCUACCGAUUGAAUGGUCCGGUGAAGUCUUCGGAUUGCUGACCAAGAUCCAGCAAUGGAGCUUGGUUGCGAGAAGUUGAUUAAACCUUAUUAUUUAGAGGAAGGAGAAGUCGUAACA